AGUGUAUACGUUCAGUUGUAUUAUACUGGGGCAUCGCGUCUGGCUCAGAUUGGCCUUUGGCGGAUCUUUACACAUGCAAGUCGAACGGCGGCACGGACUUCGUUCUGGUGGCGAGUGAACAGGUGAUAAUGUAUCCGGAACGUGCUAGUAGCGCCGGGGAUAACUGCGUAUUAGCUAAUACAUAUACGCCGCAAGGAAAGCGGGGACUGGACUCGCACUGUUAGAGCGGCCGAUAUCGGAUUAAGCUAGUUGGUGGGGUAACGGCUCACAAGGCGACGAUCAUGGUUUGAGAGGACGACCAGCCACACUGGGACUGAGACCUGGCGGAACUCCUACGGAGGCAGCAGGUAAAGGGAAUUUUUGGACAAAUGGGGAAACCUGAUCAGCCAUCCGCGUGUGCGAUGAGGCCUUCAGGAUGUAAACGCCUGGCAGGAAAAAAGAAAACGGCACGGGAUAAUACCCGUGCAACUGACCGUACCUGCAGAAUAAGCACCGGCUAUUCCACACGUGCCAGCAGCCGCGGUAGCCGUGAGGUGCCAAGCGUUAAUCGGAAUUACUGGGCGUAAAGCGUGCGCAGGCGGUUCGGAAAGAAAGAUGCUGAAAUCCCAGAAGCAACUUUGACUGCAUUUUUACUGUUUGAGUGUGUCAGGGAAGUGGAAUUCCGCGUAUGAUGAAGUAAGCAGAAUAUGCCGGAGAGGAACACCAUUGGCGAAGGCAGCCUCUGAGGAUAACACUGACGCUCCUUGCACAAUGGGGAGCAAACGGAUCAGAUACCCUGGUAGUCCCACGCCUGACAAUCAUCAACUAUUUCUGUUGGGCCGGAACUUGGUAGCGCAAUAACGCGUGAGAUGACCGCCUGCGGGAAAUUACAGUCGCAAGAUUAAAACUCAAAAGGAAUUGACGGGACAGCGUGGAUGAUGGAUUAAUUCGAUGCAGCAUGAAAAACGCCCUGCCCUUGACAUGUCUGGAAUCCCGAAGUUACGGGAGUGCUCGCAGAGAACGGAACACAGGUACUGCAUGGCUGUCGUCAGCUCGUGUCGUGAGAUGUUGGGUUAAGUCCACGCAACGAGCGCAACCCUUGUCGUAGUUGCUACGAAAGGGCACUCUAAUGAGACUGCCGGUAUUUGACAAACCGGGGGAAGGUGGGGAUGACGUCAGUCCUCCUUGGCCCUUAUGGGUAGGGCUUCACACGUCAUACAAUGGUCGGGACAGAGGUCGCCAACCGCAGGGAGGCCAAUCCCAGAAACUGAUCAUCAGUCCGGAUCGCAGUCUGCAACUCGACUGCGUGAAGUCGGAAUCCUUCAGUAAUCGCGGAUCAGCAUGUCGCGGUGAAUACGUUCCCGGGUCUUGUACACACCGCCCGUCACACCAUGGGAGUGGGUUUUACCGAUGGUGCAGCCUUCAUGGAGGGCGAUUACACGGUAAGUUCAUGACUAGGGUGAAGUCUGACAACAAGGUAG
rnacentral:rRNA from 1 species